rnacentral:rRNA from 1 species
UACGUAGGUGGCAAGCGUUGUCCGGAUUUACUGGGCGUAAAGAGCGCGCAGGCGGUCGUUCAAGUCGCGUGUGAAAGCCCCCGGCUCAACUGGGGAGGGUCACGCGAUACUGAUCGACUGGAAGGCAGGAGAGGGUAGUGGAAUUCUCGGUGUAGUGGUGAAAUGCGUAGAUAUCGGGAGGAACACCAGUGGCGAAGGCGACUACCUGGCCUGUUCUUGACGCUGAGGCGCGAAAGCUAGGGGAGCAAACGGG